GGCCGACAAAACCCUCUCCCAACCUCCACGUGGUGUCGGCUGGAAAGUGCCUCAUGUAAUGUUGCAUUUACCAACUGGGAAGG
rfam:Anopheles epiroticus strain epiroticus2 unplaced genomic scaffold supercont1.133, whole genome shotgun sequence.